AGCGAACGCUGGCGGCAGGCUUAACACAUGCAAGUCGAACGCACUCUUCGGAGUGAGUGGCAGACGGGUGAGUAACACGUGGGAACGUACCCUUCGGUUCGGAAUAACUCAGGGAAACUUGAGCUAAUACCGGAUACGCCUACGGGAAGGUUACUGCGAGGAUCGGCCCGGCCGUCUGAUUAGCUAGUUGGUGGGGUAAGUGGCCGUACCAAGGCGACGAUCAGUAGCUGGUCUGAGAGGAUGAUCAGCCACACUGGGAC
rnacentral:rRNA from 1 species